AUUUAGAUUCAACUCAUAUCUACUGAUAAUCUUUUUAAUAAGUUUGACCUGCCAAAGAACCAAGGACUUCAAAUGAUGAGGAAGCUUUUGCAAAAAGAUUUUUAAACUAAUUUUAAAAGGCUAUUAUAAACUCCGGUUUUCAUUUUCUAAUUAAUAGGACCCAUCCGUAAUAUAUGUUUGAGCAAAGUACCAAUAGUAAGGAAAAUGUAGAUGUUUACUUGUUAUUUAGAGGUAAGAUGGAGAAAUAUUAGCUAUUUUUAAGUGGGGUUGAUGGGAUUUUCUUUGUCACAAGGAAUGCUAUUUUAGCUUAUGUUUGUGAGGCUGAGAGUUGUUCACCAUUCGCUAGUUUGUACUGCUAUACAACUGAAAGGAACCUAAGGAAUCUACUGGUUCAUACUCAGAAAACAUGAACUCUGCCUUUCCUCAACAUGAUGGAACGGGCCAUAAUUCAUGGCAUGGCCUCACAGCUAUAGAUUUUUUUUAAUGGAAUGAAUAUAUAUAUAUUAUAUAAACGUAUACAUACUUUAGAUAUUAGGAUAAAAAUGAGUCCUUUGAAAUCACUGACAAAAUCAGCUAAAUAUAACAUAUGAAAUUAUGAACAUUUGAUUACAGAAAAUCUAGAGGAAAGUUGUGAAGGUACUUUUCUUGGUUUGACGUUCUAAAAAUAUAUUCCUGGUUUUCCCAGGAAGUGAGAAUGCCAAAACUGCAGAUCUAUUGUAAUCUACCUGGUCCUCUGCUUAAUAUCUGUUAUUAAACUUAGAACAAAAUCCAUUCCUACUUCAUCCACCAUUCCCAGAAUGUAACUAUAAACUACCUUGGAAGUGGCAAGCUAACUGCUGAUUUUCUUCAUUGUUUUUAUGCCAAUUCUGAACGCAAUGCCUUUUGCUAUCAGUGUAUUAAAACUGGGUUAUUGUGUUGUGUGUACACUUAGUUUGUUUUCAAAAUAUUUCACUUUAACGUAAGUGAUCUGACAGUUUUUGAGUGCCACGAAUUGCUAAGGAACUGUGUAACACGUGAUGAAGAUAGGGUUAUUGCCCAGCAAGCAAGCAGUCGUUAAAAGCCAAAAUGUAGUGCGCUUGGUAUAUAAACACCUUAGAUUGAACAUGCAACACUUUUUUAUUCAUAUCAAUUCUCUCAGAAAUGUAUUAGGAUUCCAUGAGUGGCUGCUUCUCCUCAUUUUGGUUUUGUAAGUUCUGUUCUUGUUUGUUUAUUUGUGUGCAUUUUAUAUUUAUACCAUCUUGCUCUGGGAAAUGCUGCAAACCCAAUUCUGGCACAUUUAGUGAUUUCAGUUAGUGAAGAUGCUGAUUUUAUUUUAAUAACUUUAAGAUGUCUAUCCUAUGCAUAAGUUAUAAUAGAGGGCAUAACAAAUUAUUAGAUGUGUAGAGAUGUCUUAAUUAAGCUCUUUAGACAUUUUGAAUAAGAAAAAACAUCUUUAAAGGAACUGCAUUUGUGAUUUUUUUUUCCUUGCCAAACCGGUACAAGCUAGAAAAUGCACUAAGGACUGAGUGACCCUCCUUUUUCAUUUUGCCACUGGAUAAUGUAAGUUAAGAAUGGAAUUGUUAACCCUAACUAUAUGUUUUCUUAACUUUCAUCAGUUGCUAAUUUAAGUGUUUGGGGUUUCGUUGGACCUGUAUUUAUUGAGUUCUGGUCAUAGACCAGGAGCCUCAUGUCAUGCUGAUGGAUAGCCAGACACAGUCAUGGGGAAACAUAAUGGCUCAAGACCUUCUGAAUCGUUUAACUUAUUUUGUAUGUUGCGAAAAAAACAAAGUUUAUUUUGCUUGAGAGUCACACUUUUAUAACUGUACAGCUUUUAAAGGAUGAGAAGUGGGAAAAUACCCUAAAAAUAGGAUGUAGAUUUUUACAACUGUGUUUAUGCUAGAACAUCUACAGGUGCAUUAUGUAAUUAAACCUGAAAUUGUUUAAAAAGAAAUUGUGCCAUGGUCUUCUUCAUUCUCCUGCCCUGUAGCAGAGUUGGUGCAUAUCAAUACUGCCAUGUGGACAGCUUUGAAAUUAGGCAAAUAAUCCUUGUCUCCAAAGUUUUAAGAUCAUUGCAUGAAAAUUAUACACACACAUAGACACAAACACGCAGAUCUAGUUUAUGUCCAUGUAAAUGGACUUUUCUACUUGGAAACAGCUAUAAUGGCCCAAAUUUUGUCAGUAAAGAGCAUAUUCUUAAGAGUGUGUGAUUUUUGUGAUGCCUAACUAGGAUAUUCUCAAUGUUGGUCUGGUGUUUUGCUCUUAUCAGAGUAGCUUUUUGAUAACAGUAUCUGAAUUGUACUUGCCCAAACGUGCCAGGUUUUGUAUACAACUUGAAAGGUGGUGUCCUGUAUUGGGGUUGAGGGCAAGUGGGGACAGAGCUUGGCUUUUUUUCAAUCUAUAAAAGAAGGAAAAACUAGAAUUGAUCGUUUGGUUCUUUUAUUCAGUAGACUUAAUUCCACAGGAAUAUUUGCUGGAGAAUGGCAGGAAAGAGUAUUAGCUUCAAAUUCCAAUUUCCUUAUUUGAUAAAAAGUAUUUUGACGUCUCUACAGAGCUGCCAAUUCUAGCAGUCUUAAUGACACAUUUUACCGUAAGUUUUAUUAAGACACUUUUGUUUGAAUGCCAGUACUUUUUGCCACCUGAUGGUUUUAUCAUUCUAAUUUCUUACCUUUGUAGCACAAGUGUAUUCUAGGAAAGCAUUAAAUUCAUUUCCAUAUGUCAUAAUUUCUACCCAAGUUAAUUUUAUUGUCAGCUAAUGUGGGAUGUCAGUUUCUUGGCUAUCCUCUCCAAUCAGAGGUGAAGCGUGGGAAUCGAAUUUCCAGGUGAAGAAUACAAAUUCCAGAUAAGAAUUUGUAAAUGGUAUAUGUAAGAUUUUCAUUUUGAUUUUAAAGUAAUAGCUGGAAUUUAGGGGUGUUUGAUCAGAAUGCCUCUUGGAUUUUCAGACAUGCUUAUAUGAAAUGCUUUAUUUUCCUAUGCAUAAAACAUUAUUCCUGGAACAGGUUCUCAGACGCUUUAUUUUGUUUUUUAUGAGAUGAGAGCUAAAGCAGAAGCUCCAAGAUUAACAAACUGUUGAGGUGAUCAGGAACGUACUAUUAGUCAAAUAGAGGAAACUGGAGUGCUCUCUACCACAUAUAUCGUACUGCAUGUGUGUGGGGGUGGGAGGGGAAGAGGUCUGAAAACUGGAAAUGUGAUUCCACUAAUGCACAAAGUAAAUUUUGUGCAUAGGAAAUAUGGGAAUUCCUGGUAGCUUAAAGCUUCGGGGGCUAACUGCAGUGUAUAAACACAUAGUGUGUUAGAAUUGCAGUGCAUAGUUGUUUCAAUAUAAUCCUUGUGACAACCAAAAUAUGUUGUGGCUGGUGCCAAUAUUUUUGUUAAUGAAAUGUUCAAUGUCUCACUACAGUCUGAUUGGAACUCUUGGUGUUAUAAGGUAGGCCUAAAGCUAUUUUACAGCUAUUGGCCGAAUUGUGUAACUUUUUCUUUAAAAAUGUUUUAUUAUACUUCUGUCAUUUCUUUCGCUUAAUAUAUGUCAAUUGUCAUAAUAAAAUAUUUAAAUAAUUGGAUGUAUUUAGCAUGAUGUGUUUGCAAAUUUAGUUUAUUUUAAACUUUGUGGCACAUGGAAAACAAUUUUCAAUAACAGUUAAUGAAGGAUGAAGUUUUUUAUCACCCCAGAAAUAAAUGAAUUGAUUUCACUAUCUAGAAAGGAAAUUUGCAAGUGCAUCAAUAUCCUCAAAAUCAUUUUAAAGCUAUUUGCCAAGUAGGUGAAUUCUUUAGAAAGCUAUUCUUGAUUUCUAUCUUUAGCUUCUGGAGAACUGACACAGUAAAAAGGCCUUGGACUUGUUCUGUGUGGCCUUGUGGGAGCACAGAACUAGAUCAGAGGGCAGAAGCCUUAAAGCAAA